rfam:Sphingomonadales bacterium GWF1_63_6 gwf1_scaffold_1214, whole genome shotgun sequence.
CCAGCAUCCCCGGGGGACCGUCCGCAGACGGUUGAGAGGCAGCUAUGUGGCUGCGACCCGUUGAACCUGAUCCGGCUAACACCGGCGUAGGGAGGGUCAGCGCGCUUUCA